rnacentral:rRNA from 1 species
UUGGAGGGCAAGUCUGGUGCCAGCAGCCGCGGUAAUUCCAGCUCCAAUAGCGUAUAUUAAAGUUGUUGCAGUUAAAAAGCUCGUAGUUGAACUUCGGGGCCUACCCAUUGGUCAGGCUUAAUUGUCUGCACUGGUGAGAUGGAUCUCUACCUUCUGAGGAACUUUCAUGCCAUUUAUUUAGUGUGAUGGGAAAUCAGGACUGUUACUUUGAAAAAAUUAGAGUGUUUAAAGCAGACUAUCGUCUGAAUACAUUAGCAUGGAAUAAUGAAAUAGGACGGACUGAUUCUAUUUCGUUGGUUUCUAGGAUCACCGUAAUGAUUAAUAGGGAUAGUUGGGGGCAUUAGUAUUCAAUUGUCAGAGGUGAAAUUCUUGGAUUUAUUGAAGACUAACUACUGCGAAAGCAUUUGCCAAGGAUGUUUUCAUUAAUCAAGAACGAAAGUUAGGGGAUCGAAGACGAUCAGAUACCGUCGUAGUCUUAACCAUAAACUAUGCCGACUAGGGAUCGGACGAAGUUAAUUUUAUAAUGACGCGUUCGGCGCCUUACGGGAAAC